UACAUGGGGUGCAAACGUUGCUCGGAAUUAUUGGGCGUAAAGCGCGCGUAGGCGGUUACUCAAGUCGGAUGUGAAAGCCCUCGGCUUAACUGAGGAAGUGCACCCGAAACUGAGUAGCUAGAGUACUAAAGAGGGUCGCGGAAUUCCCGGUGUAGAGGUGAAAUGCGUAGAUAUCUGGAGGAACACCGGUGGCGAAGGCGGCAUCCUGGACCGACACUGACGCUGAGGAGCGAAAGCCAGGGGAGCAAACGGG
rnacentral:rRNA from 1 species